rnacentral:pre_miRNA from 1 species
UAAGUACUCCCUCCGUCCGGAAAUACUUGUCCUACAGAUGAAUGUAUCUAGACUUAUUUUAGUUAUAGAUACAUUCAUUAUAUUUAUUUUUAGGACAAGUAUUUUCGGACGGAGGGAGUAUAUA